rnacentral:rRNA from 1 species
UUGAAAGGGAAACGAUUGAAGUCAGUCGUACCAGCGGGAAAUCAACCUUUCGAGUGGGGUUUUGGAGUUUUUUGAAGAGUGUCAAAACCUUUAUUUCAAAAUAUUCGCUCUUUUGGUGUACUUUCUCGUGGGUAGGUUAACAUCGAUUUUGAUCAUCAUAAAAAGAUUGGAGGAAUGUAGCUUCGAUCUUGUAUUGAAGUGUUAUAGUCUUUGGUAAAUGUGAUGAUUAGGAUCGAGGAUUGCAACGAAUACCCUUUUGGGCUAUCCGCCUGAUCUCUGAUACGUGGCCUUGGUAUCGAAAGCGUGCUUAUGGUAUUGAGGUAUUACGGUCAAAAGGUUAGAACGGAUUACAUUCGUUAAGGAUGUUGACGUA